GCGGGGCUCUGAAGCCUUUUGCUAUCCACAAGCGGAAACACCAAGCAAGCCAGCCUAGGACUCCCCUCAGAAGGGUCUCAGCAAAAGUCCAGCUCAGCUCCUGACAUUGUGCGGCAUGAAGUCCGGAGGAACUGAACAGUCGGAGAGCUGGCUGCAAUGAAUUUGACGAGAGAAAAGACGUGUUCUCUGCUCCAUUUCUCUGAACUGGACCAAUGCAAAGAUUGGACCACGCGGAAUCCUGGGAUUGUGUCAGUUACAUAAGCAAACUUUAGUCUCUGCUGAGAUUUAGAGUCAAGAUCAUGAACAUUCCACCCUCCAUUCGUCAGCUGCCUGAGUUUCUAUUCUAGGAGAUGGCUUGCACUACAUCAGGAUGCAGAAGAAGAUAUAGUAAGAGCCUACCUAGACUUCUCAAGAAAGUUUCCUGAAAGCAAUAUUUUCCUUUGUCGUACUAGUCUCAAGGAUGCUGGUCUCAUCUUCCUACUGUGUGGCCUGUAAUCACCUCUAUCUACAGCACCACUCUCUAUGAGUCCCUUCUGUGUGCUGGCCUUUGUCACAGUCUGGGUCACAGUGGUGAUUCCCAGCAGUGAAGGGGUGGGGUGUCUGGAGCCUUUGUAUAAACACAGUAGUCUGCUGGGAGCAUUGAUGAUUAUUGUUGAUGACAAUGAGAAAAAAAAUGAAGUUAACCAUUUGUUUAAUGUGCUGCCAA
rnacentral:lncRNA from 1 species